GACAGAGGUGGCAAGCGUUGUUCGGAUUCAUUGGGUGUAAAGGGUCCGUAGGUGGUCGAGCAAGUCUGAUGUGAAAUCCCAUGGCUCAACCGUGGAACUGCAUUGGAAACUGCGCGACUUGAGUACCGCAGAGGUGAAGGGAAUUCCCGGUGUAAGGGUGAAAUCUGUAGAUAUCGGGAGGAACACCAGUGGCGAAGGCGGCUCUCUGGACCGGUUCUGACGCUCAGGCGCGAAAGCGUGGGGAGCGAUCCGG
rnacentral:rRNA from 1 species